ACAAAAGCAAAAUUCCUUUUGCACCUUUCCCAUAAAAUUCCCAGGGACUAUUCUGCCUGUCCACACAGUUUAGGGAUCAUUCCUUCCUUCCCUCCCCUACUUGGUGAUACAAAAUUAAGAAAACAACAUGGUGGCUUGUUUUUCUUGGCCUUUACUCUUUGUGCUUGAUCUUGACCACAACCCAGCACAUCCCCAGGCCCAAUGCACAGGGGCGACUCAGGAUCCAGCCAAGGCAAGCCCCUCAGGGCCAGCAACUCAGCAGCAGCUCUUCAGAUGCUUCCUCAAGCACAAGGCUCACUUGAGAGCCAGCAAGGUAGCCAGGCUCACCCCCAGGGCCACAGGCCAGUGAGCACUGAAAGCACACAAGCCACACCAAGGAGCUACUAACAAUAAGGACCAGAAUAAAGGACGUGUUUGGUUUUUAUUGGUGGUGCUAGGGAUGGAACUCUGGGCUCACACAUGCUCCCCAAGUGCUCUCCCACUGAGCUACAUCCCCAGCAAGGAUAUUCUUUUAAGAUUAAGUUAGAAACUGC
rnacentral:lncRNA from 1 species